CAGCCGCCACGGUAAUACAGAGGAUGCAAGCGUUAUCUGGAAUGAUUGGGCGUAAAGCGACUGUAGGUGGCUUUUCAAGUCUGCAGUCAAAUCCCGAGGCUCAACCCUGGACAAGCGGUGGAAACUACCAAGAUGGAGUACGGUAGGGGCAGAGGGAAUUUCCGGUGGAGCGGUGAAAUGCGUUGGGAUCGGAAGGAACACCAACGGUGAAAGCACUCUGCUGGGCCGACACUGACACUGAGAGACGAAAGUUAGGGGAGAAAAUGGGAUUAGAUACCCCUGUAGUCCCUGUCUCUUAUAC
rnacentral:rRNA from 1 species